GGCGAGGGACCUUGACUCGGCUCCGCGCGGCGACAUGGACCGGAUGGCCAGCUCCAUGAAGCAGGUGCCCAACCCGCUGCCCAAGGUGCUGAGCCGGCGCGGGGUUGGCGCGGGGCUGGAGGCGGCGGAGCGCGAGAGCUUCGAGCGGACUCAGGUUUCCUCUUGGCCUAACCUUGUCUCCCACACACCUGUCAGAGGAUUCCGAUUGCUUUGCCUGCCUUCCUGUGUCCCAGCACCUGUACCCUGAAACCAGCCUUGUAUCCUCACUCCUUGCAGGAAGCCUUGCCUCCUCAGCUGUUGUGGCACCGUCCUUGCACUUCACUGGGCCACUGUCUCUGCCAGAGCAGGCUCCAGGGACCCUGAGGGCUUAGCCACUGCUGCAGCCCCGUCUCCAGCCAGACCCCAGAUGUGUCCCCCACCCAGUGGAUUUCAAGCAACCUUCAGGCUUUAG